AGGGCUCGGGAGCACUGAGUAGCUACUGCUGCCUAGGAGGAAGGGAGUGCCUGGCAUUAGUCACCAAAACCUAGGUCUGAAUCAGUUCGCGGAGUCCUGAUUCAGCAAAUUAAACACUGCUGUGAACACAGACGGGCCCUCAGCACGCUGUACUGGAGCAGAAGGCUGCUGGGAAGCCUCAGGUGAUGCCAGAGACAUGGCUCUGGAGCCCCUGCACGAUGAUGCAGACCCAGCAGGACAUGGUCUGGGUCUCCAUGGGCUUGGAUCCAGGCGUGGGACUGUGGUGCACAGGAUGGAUCCUGUCUCCUGGGGGAGCCAUGGCCAUGAGAGGCGUAGGAGGUGUCCUGAUUUAUUUGUUUGUUUCAUUUUAAGCACGGCGUGGCUUUCUGAGUAUUUCCAGCACCAGCAGACGUUGCUUGAGGGAGAAGCUGGACUUCCCAGAUCCAUCUGUCACUGUUUGCCUGGAUGGUUCAGUUCUCUCAGGAUGUUUCUUUUACUUCUGUUCCUACGAAAGCAGGCUGACGGCCCGCUGCAUAAUUCCUGGCCAGGAAGUCCCCUCGGUGGCUUUUCAUCUUGUGCCUUUCUUCUGACACGCCCGGCCCUGGUGACCUCCUCUUGGAAGAACUAUCGAUUUCCCUUGAAACACUCACGCAGCCGCGCUGUGUCAAAGUACAAUACUGGUACAAUACGAAGCAAAGGAAUGUUGGCAAUACAACGUCCUGCGUAAGCUACGAUUGAGACACUAACAGGACCAUUUACUACCCUGUCUUCUAUGACAGCAACCUGGAUCAGAGGUUUUGUCUUCUGUUCCCCUGUGAAAACCUUAUCUGGAUGAUGCUGAGUCAUAUCAGUUUACAAACUUGCUGUGGGACUCCCUCCUACAUGGGUUUUUCAAGAACUUGCAAGUGUACUUUGUGCAAAUCAGCCCACUAGGAGCAUCUCUUCCCCGUUCACCACCUAAAUCAUUUCUGCACAAGCAAGUCUGGAUUUUGUUGCUCAUUGUUUGUUUUGGAGUCACAAGAAACCCAUUCAUCUUUGAAAAGCUUAAUUUCAUUUCAAAGUGACUUUAAAUAAGUAAUAGCUUAGAGCCGUUCUGUUUUUCAUUUUUCCCCUCUUUGGCCUCAGUACAUUCUCAUUCUUACAUUUUACUUGAACAAUCCAAAAGAGAUGAAAUUAUAUACCAAGAAUGUUGUUGUCGCAAGAGCAGUUCAGAGAAGGACUGAUAAUUUGCUCUUGCCCAUUCACGACUGCUGCAGAAGCCACUGUGAUAGCUGACAACUGUAAUGAGCCAAAGAAAAAUGUAAGUGAGGAUAAAGUGCCUGUGCGGGGCAUUACGUGCAGCUGCCUGUGGUCUGAGCUGGCUGGAUGCAAGCCAGAUUGGUCUGGAUAUUAGGUAGCUGCAUUGACCAGAAAGCUAAGAGCUGUGUUGGUAAACCCUGCUCAGAGAGUGGUUAUGGUAAAUGCAAGCACGGUGUCACACCACUGUGGUUUCAGUUUUCUUAUCAAAGCUGGCCUGCAUCCUGGUAGCUCAAAGCAAAAGAGUAGACAAGCAAUGACCCACACUCAUCCAGCUAGACAUGACCCUACAGGUACGUAUAGGAUCCUUUAACGCUGUCUUUUUGUGGUUCUCCUUUCUCCCUCCCCAUUCUUUCUGUUAAAAUCAAUUGCACCUCCAUGCUGAUGCGUGCCCAGGCACCUAUAGUUUGGACAGGCAAGGCUGACAGCUCUUCUUCUGCUGGUGGGAUGUGGAUGAAGAGCAGCUGGUUCUUAUGCAAAACAAUUCAUUCUUCAAGAAAAUUCAACACUCAGCAUUUCAUUCUUCAAGAAAAUCAACUACUUAUUCAGGAGCUUCAGGACAAGCCUCCCUGUCCCUGUAAUCCGCUGCAGCUCCUCAUCCAAGUGAGCGCUUUUGAAUCUUUCUGUACUCCCGUGUGCAGCAAAAGACUGGGAUGUUUCACACUCAACCACCUCUCAGCUUAUACACGUCUGGGAUUUAAGAGAUACAAUUUUGCAGGACAGAAGCACACAUUAACCCAGUUAGGAUGAGCCAGUUCCCAAAGCACCUGCUACAACCUGCUCAUAGACAGCUCACGCUGUAAAUGCAGCCUCUUGCAGGAGCUGCGUUACUCCUGUCCAGCCCAGCUGGUGCCACUGCUCUUUUGUCUGCACUGGCAGACCUCCUCUGAAGGGUGAAGGGGAGGAGAUGACA